rnacentral:misc_RNA from 1 species
GCAAACUUGGUCAUUUAGAGGAAGUAAAAGUCGUAACAAGGUCUCCGUAGGUGAACCUGCGGAGGGAUCAUUACACAAUACAAUAUGAAGGCUGUCCGCAGCUGGAGUAUUUUAUUACCCUUGUCUUUUGCGCACUUGUUGUUUCCUGGGCGGGUUCGCUCGCCACCAGGACCACCAAAUAAACCUUUUUUAUGCAGUUGCAAUCAGCGUCAGUACAAACAAUGUAAAUCAUUUACAACUUUCAACAACGGAUCUCUUGGUUCUGGCAUCGAUGAAGAACGCAGC